CGAGUGGCGCACGGGUGCGUAACGCGUAUGCAAUCUACCUUUAACUGGUGAAUAGCCCGAAGAAAUUCGGAUUAAUACACCAUAGUAUAGUUGAGUGGCAUCACUUAACUAUUAAAACUCCGGUGGUUAAAGAUGAGCAUGCGUGACAUUAGCUAGUUGGUGAGGUAAUGGCUCACCAAGGCAACGAUGUCUAGGGGAUCUGAGAGGAUUAACCCCCACACUGGUACUGAGACACGGACCAGACUCCUACGGGAGGCAGCAGUAAGGAAUAUUGGACAAUGGUCGCAAGACUGAUCCAGCCAUGCCGCGUGAAGGAUGACGGCCCUAUGGGUUGUAAACUUCUUUUGUAUGGGAAAAAACCCCUCUACGUGUAGAGGGCUGAGGUACCAUAAGAUAAGGUCGGC
rnacentral:rRNA from 1 species